UCUCUCGUUUGAAGUAUUCAAGUAUGAAUAGAAAUUAAGAACGGGUCCACGUGAUGUAUAUAAGGCUGAUACUCCUCGGCGUCAGCACCUUAAAAACACACAUGUAAGAGAAGAACCUUAUGUCCUUAUCAUAAUGUUUAGUUGUUAACUAGACCAAUUCUUUUCCGUUGAAUAAGUCUUCUACUGGGAACCAAUCCGAUGUCUC
rnacentral:lncRNA from 1 species